rnacentral:tRNA from 1 species
UAAAUAUUUUAGUAUAAAAAUUAUAAUUAUAAUAUUAAUAAUUAUAAUUAUUAAUUUUAUAUUUAAUAUUU